CCCCUCUCAGGGUCACACCUGGAGAGUUUCCAGUCCUCUACCAGUCUCAGCUACUGGAGGGAGAGUCAAGCAGAGGCCUGUCCAUUCCAUUCCUAGCUUGGCCAGUGGCUAGCGAGUGGACGGCAAUCUGCUACAACU
rnacentral:snoRNA from 2 species